rnacentral:rRNA from 1 species
AACGAACGCUGGCGGCGUGGAUAAGACAUGCAAGUCGAACGGGACAACAUCUGUAGCAAUACAGGUGUUGUUUAGUGGCGAACGGGUGCGUAACACGUGGGCAAUCUGCCGAGAAGUGGGGGAUAGCUCGCCGAAAGGCGAAUUAAUACCGCAUAUGAUCAGUGAAGACAUCUUCACGACAUCAAAGCCGGGGUAACCUGGCGCUUCUUGAUGAGCCCGCGGCCUAUCAGCUAGUUGGUGAGGUAAUGGCUCACCAAGGCUACGACGGGUAGCUGGUCUGAGAGGACGACCAGUCACACUGGAACUGAGACACGGUCCAGACACCUACGGGUGGCAGCAGUCGAGUAAUUUUUCUCAAUGGGGCAACCCUGAAGGAGCGACGCCGCGUGGAGGAUGAAGG